ensembl:lncRNA novel transcript
GUUUUUUCAAAUAUUUAACAUCCUUGCUUGGUUGAAUCCACGGAUGCGGAACCCAUAGAUCCUGAGGGCCGACUCUACCCCCUUCUGAGAACAUCCCCCACAGAUGGCUGGGCUGGGUGGAGUCUGGAUAGUUAGACCCCAGCACCUGUGAGUCACGCAGACCCAGAAGCAGGAAGCAGACAGUAAGUGACAGCCGCUAAGACGCAGGGAGGCUGGGCCAGGGCUGGGGCACGAGGGUACCUUCACCUGGGCGUCAGAAGCACUUGAGAGGACAGGGGCUGCUG